rnacentral:lncRNA from 1 species
GGGCAUUAUGAUAGGACAGAAAGGGAACAUGGGCAGGGACAAAUAAGGGAAUAAAAGCUGGCCACCCCAGCCAGCAGUGGUAACCGGUUUGGGUCCUUUUUCGCAAUGUGGAGUCUUCGUCCUUUUGCUCUUCCCAAAAAACCUUGCUGCCUCUUACUUUUUGGGUCUGUGCCAUCUUUAAGAGCUGUAACACUCACCGUGAAGGUCCGUGGCUUCAUUGAUGAAGUCAGUGAGAAUCAUGAAGUCAGCCAGAGUACUGCCCUGGAGGGAAUCGACUGCCAGUUUAAGGAGUCAUUGUCCAGUUCAGACUCCAGAAUACGAAACGUAGAAACUGACAGGAAAUGACCAAGUAUAAAUUGCAACUUGUAAAGAAUCAUCUUAAAUCCUGGCACUGCGUUCAAGGGGGAGUUUGAGCAAGGAAUGUUGCUAAAACGGCUAAAACCAGGAACUCAGAAUAUCGUUCUACAAUAGAACCUAAAAACUGUUUCCAACCCAUCACGACAUCACCCUGAAAAAUGAGUGAGCAGUCACUGAGGCUUCCCAAGUUUGAAAAUUCCACAAGACUGAGAGCAAAUGUUUUGUUGAAACUGAAGUCAAGAUGAAGUCAGCUGACUCUCAAACCUCAGGUGAAGUGACUCAGGGCCCACACCCCGGUUCUGAGGCAGGGACACAUUUUACUUGCAGCACCCUGCAGCUUUGGAUGAGGCUGCAACCCGGGUGAAUCCUGGCCCUGCUAUCACGUGGGCAGCCACUGCAUCCUCCGGAGGCUGUGGAUGGGAGUCACCAUGCUGGGAGGUCUGGAGUAAGAUCUGUGCCAUCUGCCUUGCCCAAUCCUGUACCAGUGCCUGUGUUUCAAAAUCUCAAAAUAAAAGUGAUUAUUCUUGCAACACAUCUAGGUGUACUAAACGAAUACAAAAAAG